UACAGAGGUUUCAAGCGUUGGUCGGAUUCAUUGGGCGUAAAGGGUGCGUAGGUGGCUCGCUAAGUCGGGUGUGAAAUCCCGGGGCUUAACCUCGGGACUGCAUUCGAUACUGGCGUGCUUGAGGACUGGAGAGGAGACUGGAAUUCAUGGUGUAGCAGUGAAAUGCGUAGAGAUCAUGAGGAAGACCAGUGGCGAAGGCGGGUCUCUGGACAGUUCCUGACACUGAGGCACGAAGGCCAGGGGAGCAAACGGG
rnacentral:rRNA from 1 species